rnacentral:sRNA from 1 species
GCGUCGCACAGCGGCGGCCGGAGCAGACGCGGGAUGGUCGCGCGUCCCCUGCACAGCACAGAGGGGCAGCCAGAGAGCCUGCGAAAGAGGCUGCCUACCACAAGAACUUUAGCUUACUUUUUAAAGAUUGAAGAAAAAAAAAGAAGACAGAAAAAGAAGAACUCAAAGAUACACAAAGUAAUUUGACCAAGGCUCAGAAGUUUUUGGAGCCGUGAGGGAUACAGCAGUUUGGUCAAUAUUGUCUUAACAUGCUUCAAAUAAAUCAGCUUCUCUCCAAGAUAAAAUGGCAAACCCAAAAGAGAAAACUGCAAUGUGUCUGGUAAAUGAGUUAGCCCGUUUCAAUAGAGUCCAACCCCAGUAUAAACUUCUGAAUGAAAGAGGGCCUGCUCAUUCAAAGAUGUUCUCAGUGCAGCUGAGUCUUGGUGAGCAGACAUGGGAAUCCGAAGGCAGCAGUAUAAAGAAGGCUCAACAGGCUGUUGCCAAUAAAGCUUUGACUGAAUCUACACUUCCCAAACCAGUUCAGAAGCCACCCAAAAGUAAUGUUAACAAUAACCCAGGUA